AAAAUAAAUUGGCGUGGGGGUUACCGUGAUCAUGAAGGCGGUUCCCCCAGGGCAAGGCCUUGUUGACCCCUGCGACUUGGUUGACCCCUGCGAAUGCCCCAAAUGUGGGCAUCUCGGGCGCAUAAUUUUUGGAUAAAUGUGUGACAGCAUAAAUUAUUG